UACGGGGGGAGCAAGCGUUGUUCGGAUUUACUGGGCGUAAAGGGCGCGUAGGCGGCGUGGUAAGUCACUUGUGAAAUCUCCGAGCUUAACUCGGAACGGUCAAGUGAUACUGCUGUGCUAGAGUGCGGAAGGGGCAACUGGAAUUCUCGGUGUAGCGGUGAAAUGCGUAGAUAUCGAGAGGAACACCUGCGGCGAAGGCGGGUUGCUGGGCCGACACUGACGCUGAGGCACGAAAGCGUGGGGAGCAAACAGG
rnacentral:rRNA from 1 species